CAGCUGUUUAAUACGUCUUCUGGCUCGAUCAGACUGGUAGAUAGACUGUUAGGUUACUAAUGAAGAUGUGUUGAAGAUUUUAGACAUGGAAACCGAUGGGCUUACCUGGGAUGAACAAGAAUCUCAUAAAGAGGAGACAGAAGACCGAUCUACUGUACAAUUUCUUUCUGUUUCAAACUCGUCAAUUAUUCAGUCAAAAUGUAGUUUGACCGAAAACAACUCUGAAAAUAAUAGGGAUGGCCAAGCAAGAACAAACACCCGGAAGCCACAGAAUUACAUGUGUUUAGCUUUGAUCACUAUCCUUUGCAACUGUCCUUUCGGUUGCGCAGCAACUGUUUUCUCUCUUCUGUCGUCGAAGAGUUUCAUUGAAGGCAAGCAGAAAGAGGCUGUUCAGAGAGGAAACAUUUCCAAGUGGAUCUCGAUUGUUGGGCUCGCUGUAUCUGUUGUCGUGAUUCUGUUCAUUAUUGUAUAUGUGGUCGCCAUUGUCCCUAAUGUGAUCGACAAUGCACACGAUCUUCUGAACAAUUGAAAAGACGGUCAGUAACAUUGCCAAUCAAAGAUAGAGAAAAAUAACAAUCAACGGUGGAUAAAUUAGGACCAUGAGAUGUUUCAAUUUCUAUGCCACAAGACUAUCAUCUGGUCUGGGUAUUGUAAUAAAUACUCAAGGAAAAGCUGUAUAAAUAGAUCAAUUUGUCAUUCUGCUAUUAAUUUAGAGUAAGCAAAAAAAAAAAAAAAAAAAAAAUUGAAAUAUAUAUCAUACUAUACAUGUACGUCCACAUCAUCAUGCAAUAGCAUGUGAAACAGAAAAGUAAAUUAAAUAAUCAUCAAGACGA